rnacentral:tRNA from 1 species
GGGGUUGUGGCUCAGUGGUAGAGUGCUUGCCUAGUGAGUACGAGGCCCUGGGUUCAAUUCUCAGCACCA